AGUAAAAUGGCUGAAUUUUAGGCAAUAAAUUGUAAAUUUAUUUAUAAAUAUUAAUAUUUUUUUACUA
rnacentral:tRNA from 1 species